AUUGAACGCUGGCGGCAGGCCUAACACAUGCAAGUCGAACGAGUGGCGGACGGGUGAGUAAUGUCUGGGAAUCUAGCUUAUGGAGGGGGAUAACUACGGGAAACUGUAGCUAAUACCGCGUACCAUCGGAUGUGCCCAGGUGGGAUUAGGUAGUUGGUGGGGUAAAGGCUCACCAAGGCGACGAUCCCUAGCUGGUCUGAGAGGAUGACCAGCCACACUGGAACUGAGACACGGCCCAGACUCCUACGGGAGGCAGCAGUGGGGAAUAUUGCGCAAUGGGGGCAACCCUGACGCAGCCAUGCCGCGUGAAUGAAGAAGGCCUUCGGGUUGUAAAAUUCUGUCGGUAGCGAGGCGUUAACUACAGAAGAAGCACCGGCUAACUCCGUGCCAGCAGCCGCGGUAAUAC
rnacentral:rRNA from 1 species